rnacentral:lncRNA from 1 species
CGGGUCACAUACUCGUCCUGAGCCGGCUUCAGCCUCUCCGCGCAGAAGUCUCCCGGAGCCGACUUCUGAGAGUCGAGUACUCCUAUGUGAAGACUACCAAGCUCGUGUUCAAGGGAACCAAGGCGAAGAGAUUUGCCCGAGGUUGACUGUACAUACAAAUAUUGAGCAUUUCCUCCUGGUCUCCGUGAUAAACAGAGGUUUUGAUAUUUUUAGGCGAGAUGGAAAGAAAGUAUCAAGGAGUGAGCUGAAGCCACUGCCCUUGAGAACCCUCUCGAGGAGUCUGGGCUCAUGAGGAUGCCAGAAUAAGUGGCAGUAAGAAGAAAAAGAACAAAGAUAAGAAAAGAAAAAGAGAAGAAGAUGAAGAAACCCAGCUUGAUAUGUUGGAAUCUGGUGGACAGUAACAAACUUUGGUGAAAUUUCAGGAACCAUAGCCAUUGAAAUGGAUGAGGGAACCUAUAUACAUGCACUCGAUAAUGGUCUUUUUACCCUGGGAGCUCCACACAAAGAAGUUGAUGAGGGCCCUAGUCCUCCAGAGCAGUUUUCGGCUGUCAAAUUAUCUGAUUCCAGAAUCACCCUGAAAUCUGGCUAUGGAAAAUAUCUUGGUAUAAAUUCAGAUGAACUUGUUGUUGGGCGUUCAGAUGCAAUUGGACCAAGAGAACAAUGGGAACCAGUCUUUAAAAUUGGGAAAAUGGCUUUGUCGACCUCAAAUAGCUGCUUUAUUAGAUACAGUGAAGCAGAGGACAUAGAAGCAAAAAGUAAAACAGCAGGAGAAGAAGAAAUGAUCAAGGUAAUGAUGACAUUUUAUACAGAUGACUGCAUUCACACAUGCGAUGUGACUGUAUCUCUUUAAAAUGUUAAGUCAUCAUUUACAGUCACUUUAAAGAUUUAGUUAAUGGCUUUUUAUAAUGUGGUGUUUCAAAUAGAGUCAUUUUAAAUUAUAAAUCCCAUAGUUGAUGGCUUGUUUAUACAAUGUGGUAGAGAAAUCAGUGCAUCUAGGAGCUACCUUGCCAUUAUCUCCAUGGAUUAGUAUCUUUUUCUGGUAGUUCCACGUGCUCUUUUUAAGCUUUCGUUUUCUUGUUUUCUUGCUUGUACUUUAAAAUCUAAUUUUUAAAAUAGAUAACGUGUACACGUGGUCCAACAUUUUUAAAUAAAAGCAUAUGAAGAUGAAGA